rnacentral:lncRNA from 1 species
AGAGAGUACCCACCACAAGAUUGUCACAGUCGCAGAAGGACUGAGUGUUCCUGGCGGCGCAGCAAACCUCCCGCGUCGGAUUCACGAGAGUAACGCCUGUGGAGCCCGCCAGCGUUGUUCGGCUGCCGGUAAACAUCCACUAUGAUAUUAAAAAGCCACGCCACGGCUUCAACCAUGGAUUCGUCGAUGGUGCUGACUGUGGAGGGAGGGAAGAGACUGAGAAGAGAGCGAAGACAUAACGGAGUGGAGACUAAGGAAGGAAAGAAGCGAGUAAAGGGAACAAGGAAAGUGACGAACGAGUACUUGUAAGAGGAGACGAAAGACAGACAGUUGCGUCCCUGCCAAGUCUGCACCAUCCGUAUCAUCCUUAUCUAACACGGAUACACGCAAAGCAGAGAAUCACUUACUGAGUGUGAGCUGCGCCGUUGUCCUCUGCGCCAGGAACAUCAUCAGCAUCACCAAAUUCCACCAAAGACAAUGAAUGAGAAGACAAUUUGCAGAAGUGAUGGAGCCUAAACAGUUUCGUGUUCAGACCGCAGCCGCUGACGCUGUUGUAUGUCCGUCAUCCAGCUGUUGGUCGUGGAAGAGCAUAAAUUGGAGGACCGCCAAGUGCGUCAUUAUACGCCACUGAUCACACAAAUAUUCGUCGCGGCUGUGGAGAAACAAAGACUCAUUGAUCGUGCCCGCACCUGAUGAGCCAAGCCUAGGAACAGUGACAUCAUCAAUCCCAGACUGAGACUGUAGAACCUUAAUAUGUUUGGCCCACCCAUGAAGAAGAAUUACGCAUCCACUCUGCCUGGACCGAAAGUGGCGGGCACUGUCACAAGCCACACUUCCUGGCAGAGAAUCACCUUUGAGGGAGAAAGGCGUGGUCGAGCAGCGCUAAGAGGCCAGAUUUGGUUAUUGGGAACAGUGUGAAUCUCCCUCCGCUAUGGAUCUAUUUAGUCAUCAUGAGUCAAUGGAUCCCGGCCUUCAUGUUAUCUGAUAAAUGAGUGAUCUGUGUA